AUCAUAUAUAGCCCACGUGUCAAAGUCAAGGCCCGGGGGCCAGAUGCGGCCCUCCAGACCGACUCGGAACGAUCACCGCAUACUAACGUCGUCUGGUUCCAACAUGGCGACGUACGUAUCCAGGAAAAACGGCGCCUGAAUUGACUUAAUUUCAUUGGAACUGGAGCAUGAAGAUAAAGAACAUCUGAAUCCCUCCUUCUCUGCUGCCACCAUCCCACAGAACAACCUCGCUCUGUUGAGGUUGACUUGAACUCUCCGUGUGCACUUCUGCUCAAGACCAAACACUCAUCUGUGCCACACAAGGCAACUGUAACUUCCUCUGUGGAAAGUUCCAGAUUUACUGCAGAGCUUGAACGCUUUGCAUGAUAGAUGGGGAGUUAGAUUGUAAGCUAACUAUAAAAUGUGGUUUAAAAAUGUGUUGAAACAUUGGCGAUACAGCGUUUUUUUUGACUACGUCUGAGAAAAAGGAUUGUUUAUGCUUUGGCUCGCAGCUUUCACAGAGAAGCCUAUUAUGAGAAAUGAAGA